UGAAUCCAGAACAAGAAUCAAGUUAACCAAGAAUAUAAGCAAUUAAACAGCAAAGCAACAAAAAAAAUAAUCGGUUGUUUCUUCAAAACAAUCAGUUGUUUAUAUCAGCAAAGUUUAAAAUAUAAUUUAAAUCAGUACAGAGUAAGAGAGAGAUACACCAACAAUUUAUACUAGUUUACUCUUAAGUCAAGAGCUACAUCC
rnacentral:lncRNA from 1 species